rnacentral:rRNA from 1 species
GCGUUGUUCGGAAUUACUGGGCGUAAAGAGCACGUAGGCGGAUAUUUAGGUCAGGGGUGAAAUCCCAGAGCUCAACUCUGGAACUGCCUUUGAUACUGGGUAUCUUGAGUAUGGAAGAGGUAAGUGGAAUUCCGAGUGUAGAGGUGAAAUUCGUAGAUAUUCGGAGGAACACCAGUGGCGAAGGCGGCUUACUGGUCCAUUACUGACGCUGAGGUGCGAAAGCGUGGGGAGCAAACAGG